AGUGAACGCUGGCGGCAUGCUUUACACAUGCAAGUCGAACGGCAGCGCGGGCUUCGGCCUGGCGGCGAGUGGCGAACGGGUGAGUAAUGCAUCGGAACGUGCCCAGUAGUGGGGGAUAGCCCGGCGAAAGCCGGAUUAAUACCGCAUACGACCUGAGGGUGAAAGCGGGGGACCGAAAGGCCUCGCGCUAUUGGAGCGGCCGAUGUCGGAUUAGCUAGUUGGUGGGGUAAAGGCUUACCAAGGCGACGAUCCGUAGCUGGUCUGAGAGGACGACCAGCCACACUGGGACUGAGACACGGCCCAGACUCCUACGGGAGGCAGCAGUGGGGAAUUUUGGACAAUGGGGGCAACCCUGAUCCAGCCAUGCCGCGUGCGGGAAGAAGGCCUUCGGGUUGUAAACCGCUUUUGUUCGGGAAGAAAUCCUCUGGGCUAAUACCCCGGGGGGAUGACGGUACCGGAAGAAUAAGCACCGGCUAACUACGUG
rnacentral:rRNA from 1 species